rnacentral:rRNA from 1 species
CCUACGUAUCGGGAUACCAUUUGGAAACAGAUGCUAAUACCGGAUAAAAGCUACUUUCGCAUGAAAGAAGUUUAAAAGGCGGCGUAAGCUGUCGCUAAAGGAUGGACCUGCGAUGCAUUAGCUAGUUGGUAAGGUAACGGCUUACCAAGGCGAUGAUGCAUAGCCGAGUUGAGAGACUGAUCGGCCACAUUGGGACUGAGACACGGCCCAAACUCCUACGGGAGGCAGCAGCA